rnacentral:rRNA from 1 species
AGUGAACGCUGGCGGUAGGCCUAACACAUGCAAGUCGAACGGCAGCACAGUAAGAGCUUGCUCUUACGGGUGGCGAGUGGCGGACGGGUGAGGAAUACAUCGGAAUCUACUUUUUCGUGGGGGAUAACGUAGGGAAACUUACGCUAAUACCGCAUACGACCUACGGGUGACAGCAGGGGAUCUUCGGACCUUGCGCGAUUGAAUGAGCCGAUGUCGGAUUAGCUAGUUGGCGGGGUAAAGGCCCACCAAGGCGACGAUCCGUAGCUGGUCUGAGAGGAUGAUCAGCCACACUGGAACUGAGACACGGUCCAGACUCCUACGGGAGGCAGCAGUGGGGAAUAUUGGACAAUGGGCGCAAGCCUGAUCCAGCCAUACCGCGUGGGUGAAGAAGGCCUUCGGGUUGUAAAGCCCUUUCGUUGGGAAAGAAAAGCAGCAGGUUAAUACCCCGCUGUUCUGACGGUACCCAAAGAAUAAGCACCGGCUAACUUCGUG